rnacentral:rRNA from 1 species
GACGAACGCUGGCGGCGUGCUUAACACAUGCAAGUCGAGCGAGGCCCACUCUUCGGGGUGGUGCCCUAGCGGCGAACGGGUGAGUAACACGUGGGCAACCUGCCCUCAGCUCUGGGAUAACUCCAAGAAAUUGGUGCUAAUACCGGAUGUGACCGCUGACCGCAUGGCCUGGUGGUGGAAAGAUUCAUCGGCUGAGGAUGGGCCCGCGGCCUAUCAGCUUGUUGGUGGGGUGAUGGCCCACCAAGGCGACGACGGGUAGCCGGCCUGAGAGGGUGACCGGCCACACUGGGACUGAGACACGGCCCAGACUCCUACGGGAGGCAGCAGUGGGGAAUAUUGCGCAAUGGGCGAAAGCCUGACGCAGCGACGCCGCGUGAGGGAUGACGGCCUGG